rnacentral:rRNA from 1 species
GAUGAACGCUGGCGGCGUGCUUAACACAUGCAAGUCGAACGAUGAAGCCCAGCUUUCUGGGUGGGUUCGUGUCGAACGGGUGAGUAACACGUGAGUGACCUCCCCUUAACUCUGGGAUAAGCCUUGGGAACUCUGGCUAAUAUCGGGGAUGGGCGUUCCUCGCGUGUGGGGUGUGGGAAAGAGUUAUCGGUUUUGGAUGGACUCGCGGCCUAUCAGCUUGUUGGUGAGGUAAUGGCUCACCAAGGCGACGACGGGUAGCCGGCCUGAGAGGGUGACCGGCCACACUGGGACUGAGACACGGCCCAGACUCCUACGGGAGGCAGCAGUGGGGAAUAUUGCACAAUGGGCGGAAGCCUGAUGCAGCGACGCCGCGUGCGGGAUGACGGCCUUCGGGUUGUAAACCUCUUUCAGCAGGGAAGAAGCGAAAGUGACGGUAACUGCAGAAGAAGCACCGGCUAACUACGUG